rnacentral:rRNA from 1 species
GACGAACGCUGGCGGCGUGCUUAACACAUGCAAGUCGAACGGAAAGGCCCUGCUCUUGCGGCGUGCUCGAGUGGCGAACGGGUGUGUAACACGCGAGUAACCUGCCCCUGUCUUUGGGAUAACUUCAGGAAACUCGGGCUCAUACCGGGUAUGAGCUCCUGCUGCAUGUUGGGGGUUGGAAAGAUUCGGCGGUUGGGGCUGGACUGGCGGGUUAUCAGCUUGUUUGUGGAGUAGUGGCUUACCAAGGCUUUGACGGGUAGCCGGCAUGGGAGGGUGACCGGGGACAUGGGGACUGAGAUACGGAGCAGAAGGCUACGGGACGCAGCAGUGGAGAGUAUGGCGCAGUGAGCGGAAGCGUGAGGCGGCAGUGCCGGGUGCGGGAUGACGGGCUACGGGGUGUAAACCGAUUUCGCCUGUAACGAAGAGUGAGUGACGGUAAUGGGUAAAAAAGCACCGGCUAACUACGUG